rnacentral:rRNA from 1 species
GACGAACGCUGGCGGCGUGCUUAACACAUGCAAGUCGAACGGAAAGGCCCUGCUUUUGUGGGGUGCUCGAGUGGCGAACGGGUGAGUAACACGUGAGUAACCUGCCCUUGACUUUGGGAUAACUUCAGGAAACUGGGGCUAAUACCGGAUAGGAGCUCCUGCUGCAUGGUGGGGGUUGGAAAGUUUCGGCGGUUGGGGAUGGACUCGCGGCUUAUCAGCUUGUUGGUGGGGUAGUGGCUUACCAAGGCUUUGACGGGUAGCCGGCCUGAGAGGGUGACCGGCCACAUUGGGACUGAGAUACGGCCCAGACUCCUACGGGAGGCAGCAGUGGGGAAUAUUGCACGAUGAGCGGAAGCCUGAUGCAGCAACGCCGCGUGCGGGAUGACGGCCUUCGGGUUGUAAACCGCUUUCGCCUGUGACGAAGCGUGAGUGACGGUAAUGGGUAAAGAAGCACCGGCUAACUACGUG